rnacentral:lncRNA from 1 species
UUUGUAUAUGUUUUAUUGUCUUAUAAUGUGAAACUACCAUGUCCAAUGCUAAGCAUAUUACCAGUGAGGUUUGUAAUGUAUGGAAAUAUAGAUCAAAAGGUUUUAAUCAGACUGAAAUUGCUAAAAGAAUUGGAAGAACACAACAAGCAAUCUCCCAAAGUACUGAAAAAAGAGGGAAUUUUCAGAAAUAAACUGAGAUCUGGGAGGCUAGAAGCAACAACUGCAAGGAUGGAAGGAAAGUAUUUUGUUUAGCUUCAACUCAAAUGCUAUCCUUCUUUCAAAGUCAAGAACAGGAGCAGAAGUGUGUCCAAGGACAAUAUGCAAUAGAUUAUAUUCAAC